rnacentral:piRNA from 1 species
UUGUUCGUGCGGAUAAACGAA